AUCUGGGCACCAAUGCCAUAUUCUCGUGAAUCGACAGGCAGUCCCAGCUCUUCAUUUGCUUCAACCGUAUCACGCCCAGCAUCCUGUAGGUUGUAAGCCCGAAGCUUGUGACCCAAACCAAUGCCCCUUCCUUCAUGCCCACGGAGGUAGAUCAGCACACCCCUGCCAGCAGCCUCAAUCUGCUGCAUUGCAAGUGCCAGCUGGUUCCCACAGUCGCAUCUGGCAGAACCAAAUAUGUCUCCUGUGAGGCACUCUGAAUGUACCCUCACAAGAAUAUCCUGCCCAUCUCCAAUCUCACCCUUAACCAUUGCAAUAUGUUCAAUGCCAUCUAAUAUUGAUCUAUAACAGUAGGCUGUAAAUGGACCCCACAUGGUUGGUAUCUGAGCAGCAGAAGAACAAUCAACUAAUUUCUCUCUCUUCCUCCUAUACCUGAUUAAAUCAGCAAUAGAUAUAAUUUUUAAAUUCUCCUGCUGCGCAAAUUGACGAAGCUUUGGCAAUCUAGCCAUGGAGCCAUCAUCAUCCACAAUCUCGCACAGAACUGCAACAGGGUCCAAUCCAGCUAGAACAGCAAGAUCAACAGAAGCUUCUGUAUGUCCAGCUCUUUUCAAAACACCACCAUCUCUGUACCUCAAUGGGAAAAUAUGGCCUGGCCGGUUGAAGUCUUCAGGUUUUGAGUCCCUGGAUGCAAGAGCUAACACUGUUGUUGCCCUGUCACGGGCUGAGACCCCUGUGGUUGUACCGUGUUUUGCAUCCACUGUCACUGUGAAUGCAGUACGAAGUUUUUCAUCAUUUUCAUUUUGGUUGACCAUCAAAGGGAGUUGCAACCUGUCAAGAUAUUCCCCGGCCAUGCUCACACAAACUAUUCCAGUACC
rnacentral:misc_RNA from 1 species